rnacentral:tRNA from 1 species
GCGUAAUUAGUAUAAUGGUUAUUAUCUCGGUUUCCCAUCAUCUGGCCUUGUAUAUCUGUAGAGGAUCCUACCGAGGAUCGGAGUUCGAUUCUCCGGUUACGCA